rnacentral:lncRNA from 1 species
UGUCUGCCCAGAACAAAGAGGGCUUUCUUGGCCCUCGAACCCUGUGGCCAGCAGGCUGUGAACAUUGCCGCCAUCUAAGCAAAGCCUGUGUCAUCCUAGCCGUCUCGCCCCUCACUCUUUCCUGUGGCAGACAUCUCCGUGGCAUUUUUCAUCUGGAGCCUGGGGAUGCUCCCUGCUUCUAAGGGACAUGAUGGAAAAGGAUAAAGGAAGCAGCAUGAUCAAACUGCGCCCUGAGACUCUCUUCUCGAUUUGGU